GUGAAAUUGUUGAAAGGGAAACGAUUGAAGCCAGUCGUACCUUCGGGUACUCAGCCUUUCGGGUGCGAUUAUGUGGAGUGCGAGGAGCUUAAACACCUUCAUGUUUUGCAUAUUCGUACUCUUGGGUGUACUUGCCCGUGUGGUUGGUUACCAUCAAUUUUGGUGGUCAUAAAAUGACUGGAGGACUGUAGCUUCGAUCUUGUAUUGAAGUAUUAUAGCCUUCGGUAGAUGUGAUGAUCGAGAUUGAGGAUUGCAACGGAUAUCCUUCGGGGCUACCUGUCUGGUCUCUGAUCUUUGCGUUGGUGCCGAAAGCUUGCUUACGGGAAUCAAAGUCGAUGGUCAAUAGGUUAGAACGGGUUAAAUUCGUUAAGGAUGUUGACGUAAUGGCUUUAAACGAC
rnacentral:rRNA from 1 species